AAACAAGAGUUUACUCUGCAAUACCAGCACUGGCCAGUAGGGGUCGUUGUGUGUGGAGACAGGCAGGGAUAGGAAGUUCCAGCAUAUCCCUGCCUAUCUAUACUCACUGAUCUGCAGGGGUGCAGCUACAGAGAGUCCAGACAGCAACUCCCACCCUGCAGAGACAGCCUACAGCUCAGGGAAGCAAGGGAUGGGGGGGAAAGGCUGCAAGGAGAGAUACACUGGGACACUAAGGGACAUUGGGAGACAUUAUGGCAGACACUGAGACACUAAGGGACACUGGGAGACAUUAUGACAGACACAUGGGGACACAGUGUCCCCAUGUCUCCCAGCCAGUGCCCCUAGUCUCCCAAUGACCCCUAGUCUCCCAGUGCCCCCAGUCUGCCAGUGUCUCACUGUCCCCAUGUCUCCUAGUGCCUCCAUGUCUCUCAGUGCCUCAAGUGUCACAGUGUCCCCAUGUCUCCAAGCUAGUGUCCCUAGUGUCUGUGGCCCUGAUGUCUCAGUGUCCCCAUGUCUCCCAGUCCCC